rnacentral:rRNA from 1 species
AACGCGAAUAACCUUACCUGGGCUCGAAGCGCAGUGGACCGGGGUAGAAAUAUCCCUUCCCCUUAAAAGGCUGCUGCGGAGGUGCUGCAUGGCUGUCGUCAGCUCGUGUCGUGAGAUGUUGGGUUAAGUCCCGCAACGAGCGCAACCCUUAUCCCUAGUUGCCAUCGGGUCAAGCCGGGCACUCUAGUGAAACUGCCUCGGAUAACGAGGAGGAAGGUGGGGAUGACGUCAAGUCCUCAUGGCCUUUAUGUCCAGGGCUACACACACGCUACAAUGGGCGAGACAACGGGUAGCCAACCCGCGAGGGGGAGCCAAUCCCAGCAAACUCGCUCUCAGUUCGGAUGGCAGGCUGCAACCCGCCUGCCUGAAGCCGGAGUUGCUAGUAACCGUGGGUCAGCACACCACGGUGAAUACGUUCCCGGGUCUUGUACACACCG